GGCGACGUGGCCGAGUGGCUAGGCAGCGGCCUGCAAAGCCGUCCACACCAGUUCGAUUCUGGUCGUCGCCU
rnacentral:tRNA from 1 species